rnacentral:misc_RNA from 1 species
UCCGGUUUGGCACCGGCAGUCCCCCGCGAGUCCUCAGCAGCUUGCGCCCUGUUAGCAACAUGCGACGGGGGUUGCGCUCGUUGCGGGACUUAACCCAACAUCUCACGACACGAGCUGACGACAGCCAUGCAGCACCUGUGCACGAUCUCCGAAGAGGGGCUCUCGUUUCUGAGAGCUUGCUCGUACAUGUCAAGCCCAGGUAAGGUUCUUCGCGUUGCGUCGAAUUAAACCACAUGCUCCGCCGCUUGUGCGGGCCCCCGUCAAUUCUUUUGAGUUUUAGCCUUGCGGCCGUACUCCCCAGGCGGAACACUUAUCGCGUUGGCUGCGGCACAGACAGAUUCGACUCCGCCCACACCUAGUGUUCAUCGUUUACGGCGUGGACUAC